rnacentral:rRNA from 1 species
AGAGUUUGAUCCUGGCUCAGGAUGAACGCUAGCUACAGGCUUAACACAUGCAAGUCGAGGGGAAACGAUAGAGAAAGCUUGCUUUUUCUAGGCGUCGACCGGCGCACGGGUGAGUAACGCGUAUCCAACCUGCCCACCACUUGGGGAUAACCUUGCGAAAGUAAGACUAAUACCCAAUGAUAUCUCAAGAAGACAUCUGAAUGAGAUUAAAGAUUCAUCGGUGAUGGAUGGGGAUGCGUCUGAUUAGCUUGUUGGCGGGGUAACGGCCCACCAAGGCUACGAUCAGUAGGGGUUCUGAGAGGAAGGUCCCCCACAUUGGAACUGAGACACGGUCCAAACUCCUACGGGAGGCAGCAGUGAGGAAUAUUGGUCAAUGGGCGAGAGCCUGAACCAGCCAAGUAGCGUGCAGGAUGACGGCCCUAUGGGUUGUAAACUGCUUUUAUAAGGGAAUAAAGUGAGUCUCGUGAGACUUUUUGCAUGUACCUUAUGAAUAAGGACCGGCUAAUUCCGUGCCAGCAGCCGCGGUAAUACGGAAGGUCCGGGCGUUAUCCGGAUUUAUUGGGUUUAAAGGGAGCGUAGGCCGGAGAUUAAGCGUGUUGUGAAAUGUAGAUGCUCAACAUCUGCACUGCAGCGCGAACUGGUUUCCUUGAGUACGCACAAAGUGGGCGGAAUUCGUGGUGUAGCGGUGAAAUGCUUAGAUAUCACGAAGAACUCCGAUUGCGAAGGCAGCUCACUGGAGCGCAACUGACGCUGAAGCUCGAAAGUGCGGGUAUCGAACAGGAUUAGAUACCCUGGUAGUCCGCACGGUAAACGAUGGAUGCCCGCUGUUGGUCUGAAUAGGUCAGCGGCCAAGCGAAAGCAUUAAGCAUCCCACCUGGGGAGUACGCCGGCAACGGUGAAACUCAAAGGAAUUGACGG